CUGUUCCUUCAGUUUACAUCAAAAUCGAGGGACUUGAAGACCCACUGUGUAUGCAUUUGAAAGUUCCAAAACACAAACAAAAGAUUUUGAUCAAACAUGGCGAUGAAUCAUUGGGAAUAAAGACUAGCUUAUGCGAAAGUACUGUCAAAAAAGAGGUGUAUAGUGCUGACUAUAUCAAUGCAGCCUAUAUUCCUGAUCACCAAGUUACAAUGUAUCCAGACAUGAUUCUAGAGGAUCUUACCUUUCGACAGUGGAACGACGGAGAAAUUUGUGACUUACCUUUCCCCUCUAAGCAAAUGAAGAUUAAAGCAUGCCGAUCUGACGGGUCGCUGCGUGGACUACAAUUCUAUAUUGAUGCUUCAACUCCUAACACUGAUUACAGCGGUAUUCUAGGGCCGUUGGCAAACAUGAAACUUCACAAAUUCGACACUCACAGGGAAGGACAAGACAAAACAGUAGCUAAUAUAGUGGUAAAGAAUGCCAACAAGAAAUAUGAAUUCAAGUCAGUUUUAAGAUAUGGAGUAAGCAGAUUGUCACAGCAGUGUUGGGAGACUACGGAUACUGACUUUCUAAAUCUUGACUAGCAAAAGAACAAUAUUCAUUGAAUAUAUAAUUUAAUCAUCAAAUCUUUAAAAACAUUUUCUGAAUUAAAACGUCAAGUAUUUCAUGAGAUAGUAAAUACUUAAGCUUGGGACUCGGUGACAUAGACAUGGAUUUUGUAAAUAGUUGUUUUGGACUUCAUGUUUGUUUUUGAUAAACAAAAAAGUAUACUUCUUCUUUCUUACAUGUGAAAAAUACAUAAAUGAAUACAGAUAUGAAAAUAAUUCUGAAGUCAUAUACAAACUAAUAUUAUUUUAUAAAGAUUAUAGACACCAUGGAAAAUAUAUUUUUGGAAAAAGGUAUAUAUUUAUAUUGGCCAUUGACGCUUAUCUUAUAUGCUCAUAUCUAUUACACCCAGUAAAAAUAAUUAUCACAUAAAAGCCUAUGACUGAUUGUUGCUUGUAUAAUGUCCAGUGGCAAAUAUUUCAUGCAAAUUAAGCAUAUGAGUAAUGGCAUAUGAGUAAAGCAUGGUCAUGUCUGCAGUGAAGAGUAUGGAACGCCAACACUAUCUAAAUGUCUUAUUAUGUCAAUUUUGAUAAUAUGAUGUGCAGUUGUGAAUCAGUUGAUGAAGUAGCAAGAUCACAUUUACCAUCAAACAACAUGAAAUGGAAUUAUGUGACCAGUACUAAAGUACGUGUAAAACCUAAAGUCUAGAAGAAGAAACAACUGCAAACUUAAAAUAAAAUACAUUAAAAGAUAUGUACUCUGAAAAGGGAAGGUGAGCUUUUUAUGUUCCUUAUGCGACAUUCGUCCGAUAGUUAGAUGUUAAGACCAGAAAGGAUAAUGGAAUCACAUCCCCGAAAGAAAAAAAAGUUGAAUAAAUCUUCCUACAGUAUAGAGAACAAAAAUCAGAAAUCACUAUUGUGUGUAAAUACAAUUUAUA